UGCGCAGGCGGAAAUUUAAGUCAGUGGUGAAAGCCCCGAGCUCAACUUGGGAACUGCCAUUGAUACUGGAUUUCUUGAAUAUAGUUGAGGUAGGCGGAAUACAACAUGUAGCGGUGAAAUGCAUAGAUAUGUUGUAGAACACCAAUUGCGAAGGCAGCUUACUAAACUAUCAUUGACGCUGAGGCACGAAAGCGUGGGGAGCGAACA
rnacentral:rRNA from 1 species